ACUCUAGAGAUAUGACUCAUCACUACAUCACGCGAGUGUAUGAUGUUAAUAUAAUUAAACACAUACAUAGCUUGAUGUUGAUGUAGUUUAUAUUUUUAAUUUAAUAUCCGGCAUGGACGACAACUCGACUUUAACGAUAUUAAUAUUAAUACGUGCGUAAAAUAUUUAUGCACGUUGUGUGUAUUUAGGUAUUAAAUCAGGUUGGCACACCUCGGGACCGGAACGCGAACGUAGAAUGCGCCGCGUCGACAGAAAGCAAAGUUACAACUGCCGGUAAAGUUUAUCUACCUAUGGUAAAUAUACCAAAUGUACCACUGUCUAGUAAUAACAGAAGAACUGGUACAUAGUAUGGGACACAAGGAAGACUGGAAUAUUUCAAGGACGCGUAAAUUGUACGUUGUGUGGGUCAAUUAAUUUCAAUGCCAACGGCGCGCGCUUUUGGUUUGGUCCUCUUAUUUUGAAACUUGAAGUAGGCAACUACAUACACAUUUCAUGGAUGUUUAUUUAAAAUUUAUGGCUAUUCUACGGACUAAUUUGCUUAAAAACAGUACUUUUCUAAUAGAGCAAUAUAAUUAGGCUAAUUUUACUACAGAAAUGAUGAGUUAUCACAACCUAAAAUAAAAGGUAAAAAGGUGAAUUAAAAAAUCAAUGAUUCGACCUUGAUAUGCGUUAUUUGAAGGACAAAUUGUUUAUUAUAAUUUAUAAAAGCUACUAAUACAAUUACAAUAUUCGCAUUUAAAAUAUUAAUUAAAAUUUAGUGCUUCGACGCUCACGAAACAUUUCCUCGAUCUCUUUCAGAGUUUUGUUUUUUGUUUCUGGUAGAAUAAAAUAGAGAAUUACAGUUCCCAAGAAAGUAAAUAACGCGAAACAUAAAAAUCCUCCAGCUAGACCAAAUGCAUCAAAUAAAUUUGGGCUUAGUUUAAUCACCAGGAAGAACGAAAAGAAAUAAGCAAACGUGCUGAAUCCGCAUCCGAUUCCUUUAACGAUCAAAGGAAAAAUUUCUCCACAAAUUACCCACGGUAAUGACGCAAUACCAAUUGAUGAAAAAACAAUAUAAGAUAUCAAUGAUAUCAAUGCAAGGAUAGAGUACACUUCAUGUUGGUUUUCACCUGAUUGGUAUAUAAAUAAAGCGAAACAACAAUGCGAUGCAGCGCUUCCAACUCCACUGAUGAUCAACAAUGGACGCACACGAAAGUUUCUUAUCAAUACGGCUCCUACCAACGUCAUUCCGACUCGUAUUACAUCAACGAUAACAGUCGAUGCAUAUUGAUUCAACAACGGCACAGUCUGACUCAAAAUAGUGAUUGAGUAAAACAUGAUUGCCUUGUUUCCGGAAAAGUGCAUAGUUAUCAUGAGCGUUGCACUGAUUGCAAGUGGCAUGAGCAGCAAUCGACUCAGGAACAACUUAGUCAUCUCUUUGAUCGAAUAAUUCGCGUUGGUCGUGUGUUCUCAGAUACCAACCAUACGGUUCUUUCAGAUAGAAUAUCAAACAAAGAUAAAUAAACAGAAUUAGAACUGUUAUGAUGAUGCAGGUUUUCCAUGAAAACAAUGCUCCCAGGACGUGAAUUAUCAGAAUUCCAACGGAAAGUCCCAAAAGUACGGAAGUUAGAAAAAAUCCUCUUAGUUGCGGAUGUGAUGUUUCUCCAAUAAAUUGUGGUAUGAUUGGAGCACCACCAGCGCUUGCAAUACCAGUUAAUAAUCUUCCUACUAAUAUUUCCGUUAGUGAUGUGUUGUAGUAAAUGAUCAACCAACCCGCAAUUUCAAUCAUUGCCAAGAGGCUGGCAAAUAAACGUUUUGGCAUUUUGUUGAUGAGAUAACCAGCUACCAAACACGAGGGUGCCAUUGGAAUAACCACAAUUGAUGCUAAACAUAUAAUAAUUAAACAACCUUUCAAUAAAAUAUUCAGUAAAAAUUA